CCGGAGGCAAGCUAUUUCUUCUUUGGUUCCUUCCUCUUUCAGAAUUGGAGCAGCUUCUCUUAGCUCUGAAUUUGUGAGGAGGGCAGAGGGAAAAUCCUGAGCAAGCCCCUGACAUCGAUGACUGAAUCCACUCUUCUAGAUGCCAUGAGGUGUCCUGAAACAUCCAUCUCCCUACUCUGAGCCUUUGUUUUUUUCUUCUGUGAAGUGGAGGCUAGUAAUGAUUCCAUUCUCAGCAACUUCAUCAGAUUGCUCUCUGGAUCAGACGUGGAAAUACUUGGUCUCUUUUCCCACCAUCAAAAAGACCUCAGGCCUGGAAGAGUCUCAGAGGGUAGCCUGGCCAGUGGUUGCUAAACUGCUGAUCUUCACCUGGGAAACUUUUGAAAACACACAUUGCCAGGCUCUGUGCCUGGAUGCUCUGACUCAGUAGGUCUGGGCCCGGUCCCCGUCCAGCUGCUGUUCUGUGUCCCACGCUCAGGAGCCCAGAGAGCACUUCCCCUGCCUGUCCUUGGCAACCAGUCUUUCCUUGUGAAUUUAUCGUUCUCAUUAAGGGAAUGGCUCUCCAAACCCGCUGAGAGGACCAACACUAUUGUGUUCCCGAAUGCCCGAAUGCCGCCUGGCCAGGAGAGGGUUUCUGCCCUGGCUCAGUCCCCUGUCAUCAGGAGAAGGAGCCCUUGCCUGGGGCGGUUGCCUUGGGAAGUGUCCCCUGGGCAGUGUGGAGAGCUGGGCAGCCAGACGACCUCACCAGGGUCCAGGUCUGCCAGGCCGAGGGGAGGGGCUAUGGAGAAGAACAGCUGAACUCCCACCCAGUCACCUACCCUUCUCAUCAACACACCCCUCAGGCCACUGAAGAGUGGGCUGUCUUCUGAGGGAAUCGAGACCCUGGACAUGACUCUGGGGAAGCACUUGAAUUUUCAUUUCUAAAUCCCAAGAAGUGCUUGGCAAAAGGAUAACAGUGAUUUUGUUCCAUGUGACCAAGAUGUACUCACGUGGGCACUUGUGUGCUUCUUGUAACCGUCCUGGGAGGAGACGGGACAGGAUUACUUCCCCCUCCCCAGCCCCCUCAACUCCCCCAGCCGAGCAAGCCAA